AUUUUGAAUUCUAUGAGUUUAAAAUUUUUACAAGCAUUAACAAAGCCAAAAAUGACCAGAAAUCUUAAUUAAUUAUUAUAUCGUUCGAUUCGAUUGAACUGUAAACUAGAGUUACGCAGCA